rnacentral:rRNA from 1 species
UACGGAGGGUGCAAGCGUUAAUCGGAAUUACUGGGCGUAAAGCGCACGCAGGUGGCUGAGUCAGUCGAUUGUGAAAGCCCUGGGCUCAACCCCGGGCCUGCAGUCGAUACGGGCAGACUAGAGUGCGGUAGGGGAGAACGGAAUUCCCGGUGUAGCGGUGAAAUGCGCAGAUAUCGGGAGGAACACCGGUGGCGAAGGCGGUUCUCUGGGCCUGUACUGACGCUGAGGAGCGAAAGCGUGGGGAGCGAACAGG